UAAGAUGUCGAAUUUGAUGUUAAUGAUCCCUUGUUUAUUCUUUGUUGUAAGGCUCUUUGGUGAAGCAAAGGCGGGCGGUCCUUAUCCGAUGCCAGAGACAUCAACCCCAUCUACCACCCCACCUACGACUGCUGCACCAUUAGCAACGAUUCAAAGGUCAAACCAAGAACCAGAUAUAAUAAUCGGGUUGUCUGUGUCUGUCUUUGGUCUGAUUUCCUUCCUUGUUGCUGUCGGCGUUGUGACUAAAAUAUGCAAUGAUAAAAAACGCCCUGAGCAGCAGUAUCAGGACGCACGUCACAGCUUUCGUUUAUGAAAAAACAGGGUUCUGUUCAAGCAUGAGUACAAACAGUUUUUGACACUACUUCAAUUAUUAUGCACUAACGCUGAAUGUUCCAUGCAUUGUGAUAUUAGAACAAUUAUUAAGAAUAAUUUCAGAUUCUGUUUAUUUAUUUUGGCUUGGAAGCAUUUUGUUUCCGAAUGCUAUUUCAAAUUCUUAAUAU